UACAGAGGUGGCAAGCGUUGUUCGGAAUUACUGGGCGUAAAGGGCGAGUAGGCGGCGUUCUAAGUCAGACGUGAAAUCCCCCGGCUUAACCUGGGAACUGCGUCUGAUACUGGGAGGCUAGAGUAUGGGAGAGGGAUGUGGAAUUCCAGGUGUAGCGGUGAAAUGCGUAGAUAUCUGGAGGAACACCGGUGGCGAAGGCGGCAUCCUGGACCAUAACUGACGCUGAGGAACGAAAGCGUGGGGAGCAAACAGG
rnacentral:rRNA from 1 species